AAAACAAAAAAGAAAAAGAAAAGAGAAGAAGAAAGAAAAACAAUUUGAGAGAUCAUGUUUCAGAAAAGAGUUUCUCUUUCUCUCUUUCUCUUUUUCGUUU
rnacentral:ribozyme from 13 species